rnacentral:lncRNA from 1 species
GUAACGCCCCGGAAAUCCGGACCGUUACCGGCGCUAGGAUCCAGAUCGGCGUAAGGCCGCCGGGACCCGUAGCAAGCCUAACAUACAUCCUGUUUAUCUGUUUAAUCCCAUACAUGAUCAACAAACAUACAUAAGAAUUAAAAACUUUUCUUUUCUUCAUUUACCAAACUCAACCUGUGCAUGCACUAUAUUCAUCAUAUACAUAAACAUUAAUCCCUCUGUGGGAUUUCAUCAAAGCCUCAAUGGGCAAUAUAUAUCCUGUGUUGAGUUGGUUCACAUAUACAUCAUAAAAUAAGAUCAUGUACAUACCAAGGGAUUAACAUAUACUAUGGUCAAGCACAACUCUAUCCUCAAUAACAUAAUUACAUUCUUAUCAUUUGUCAUGUCCACAAACUCUAGCUAUUACAUACAUAUGACUUUUCUCUUCUUUUCUUCUCUAUCAAUCCCGUACCUGCAAACCUGGGGUUAGGGGAGAGGGGUGAGCUAAAAGCCCAGUGAGCAGAAACUGAAAACAUUAUAUUAAAGUUCAUGCUUUCAUGAAAUGCAUCAUAUCACAGACAAUCCACAUCAAGGGUGAACCUGUCACCAAUUAGUCCCAACAUAGUCUCGUGCCAGGCCGUAGCAUGGGGUCCUGGUCUUCCUGUCAUAACAUAUAUAAAGCCUCGUGCCAGGCCGUAGCAUGGGGUCCUGGUCUUCCUGUCAUAGCAUAUAUAAAGCCUCGUGCCAGGCCGUAGCAUGGGGUCCUGGUCUUCCUGUCAUACAUACAUAAAGUCUCGUGCCAGGCCGUAGCAUGGGGUCCUGGUCUUCCUGUCAUAACAUACAUAAAGUCUCGUGGACUAAUUGGAUCAUACAGCAUUCACCCACAACCACAAAAUAAAAUGCAAUGCGACAUAUUCGUGUACUAAUGCAAUCAGCCUAUUACAUAUCAUCAUGAUGCGUGAAGCAUGCCCAAACCAUUCAGUUAUUUGAUUUAAAACAUUAAGCUUGUUUCCACUCACCUCUGGCUAGCUCUGUCCAGACACUGAAGCAGCUCACUCACUGCUGGGGUCCUCGGUUCCUCGGGUCCGAACCUACACAGGUGGACUCCAAUGAGGGACCAAACAUAUAUAAACACAACUCUAAUAUAUCCCCCAAAAACCCCCUAAAACAUCAUGAAAACAUCACAGAAAAUAUGCAUGAAACGGCUGAACAGGGCACCUUCGGCGGCACUUUCGGCGGCCGAAAGUCCUGGACAGAGACGAAACUCAGCUAGGUUCGGCGGCACCUUCGGCGGCCGAAAGUGCCAGACAGAGACGAAAGUCUCUUUUCGGGGGCACCUUCGGCAGCCGAAAGCUGCCUUCACAAGAGGGGUUCGGCGGCCGAAACUCCCUUCGGCUGCCGAACCUGGUUUCUGCCAAACGGCAGAAACUUGGUUCAAAUGAACCUCCUGCCUCCCAAAACCAUAGAUCAUGCAUAUUUCUCAACCAAAACACGCAUACAAGUUCCUAGGGGUCUCAAACAUGCAUAUACCCCAUCUACAACACUUCAUUCACACACAAACAAGCUACAUUGCUCAAACUUCAUCAAAACCCAUAAACUCAACAUAUGUCCUAACAUGCAUUUCUACCCAUAGAUCUUACUUAAAACUUGUUUAAAACAUAAAAAGGGUUCAAGAUCGACCCUUACCUCUUGAAGAAACGAGAGGAAAGCGAUCCUAGCUUGGAGAUGGAGAGAUUAAGCUCUUUGAACCUCCAAGCACUCAAAGCUUGCUCAAAGCUCACAAAUCUUCAAAACAAGGUUAUAAACUUGUUAAAACCAUGAAAGAUCUAGAGGAAACACUCAAGAUCGAGGGAGGAACGGUGGAGACUCACCUUGGCCGACAAUGGGAGAGAAAAAGCUCGCCCGUGCGGACCAAGGGGACCCUUUUAUAGUGGCUGGCCAGGCCACGUUCGGGGGCCGAAUGUGCCUCCGCAUCCAUGCAAUGUUCGGCGGCCGAACAUAAGGUUCGGCGGCCGAACCUGCACUUCCCUCACUUAGACUUUCGGGGGCCUAACGUGCCUCCCAAAGUCCAUGCAUGUUCGGCGGCCGAAAGUGAGUUUCGGCGGCCGAACCUGAGUUUUUUCCUUAAAGAAUUUUCAUGCAAAAAUUUAUUUAAAAUCAUACUUAAAACAUUAAAAUACAUGAAAACAUUUUAUAAAAACAUGCUUUUACCCUUCUAGAGGUAUCCGACACCCAAAUUCCACCGGACGGUAGGAAUUCCGAUACCGGAGUCUAGCCGGGUAUUACAAGUUAGACAUAUUAAAUUCAGUUCAAGUAAAUAGUGAAGGUGAACCCAUAUAUAAUGAAUUAGAAGAAGC